UGGGGAAUAUUGCACAAUGGGCGCAAGCCUGAUGCAGCCAUGCCGCGUGUGUGAAGAAGGCCUUCGGGUUGUAAAGCACUUUCAGCGGGGAGGAAGGCGUUAAGGUUAAUAACCUUGGCGAUUGACGUUACCCGCAGAAGAAGCACCGGCUAACUCCGUGCCAGCAGUCGCGGUAAUACGGAGGGUGCAAGCGUUAAUCGGAAUUACUGGGCGUAAAGCGCACGCAGGCGGUUUGUUAAGUCAGAUGUGAAAUCCUCGGGCUCAACCUGGGAACUGCAUCUGAUAAUGGAAAGCUUGAGUCUCGUAGAGAGGGGUAGAAUUCCAGGUGUAGCGGUGAAAUGCGUAGAGAUCUGGAGGAAUACCGGUGGCGAAGGCGGCCCACUGGACGAAGACUGACGCUCAGGUGCGAAAGCGUGGGGAGCAAACAGG
rnacentral:rRNA from 1 species